CGACCCCAGGUCAGGCGG
rnacentral:ncRNA from 11 species